GAUGAACGCUGACGGCGUGCCUAAUACAUGCAAGUCGAGCGAACGGACGAGAAGCUCGCUUCUCUGAUGUUAGCGGCGGACGGGUGAGUAACACGUGGAUAACCUACCUAUAAGACUGGGGUAACUUCGGGAAACCGGAGCUAAUACCGGAUAAUAUUUUGAACCGCAUGGUUCAAAAGUGAAAGACGGUCUUGCUGUCACUUAUAGAUGGAUCCGCGCUGCAUUAGCUAGUUGGUAAGGUAACGGCUUACCAAGGCAACGAUGCAUAGCCGACCUGAGAGGGUGAUCGGCCACACUGGAACUGAGACACGGUCCAGACUCCUACGGGAGGCAGCAGUAGGGAAUCUUCCGCAAUGGGCGAAAGCCUGACGGAGCAACGCCGCGUGAGUGAUGAAGGUCUUCGGAUCGUAAAACUCUGUUAUUAGGGAAGAACAUAUGUGUAAGUAACUGUGCACAUCUUGACGGUACCUAAUCAGAAAGCCACGGCUAACUACGUG
rnacentral:rRNA from 1 species